GACGAGUCGAUUCUUUUACACAAUCUGGGUUCAUGAUAGGGUAUACACCUGUCACCAGCACGACCCGACAGAUAAUGGAGAAGGUAGCUGCUGUCCCUUUCAUGGCAGGUAGAAAAGUCCUGGGACUGUUGGAUGAAGAAAACAUCAGGGAAUUAACAGAAAGUCAUCAGGAAGUAAUAAGAGUCAUUUUCUCUGAUACGUUCUCAUAUCAUCUGAAAUUUCAAUUUGGACAGAGAAUCCCAAAGUCAAGGGAACAUGGAGAUCAUGAAGGUAGUUCUCCAGAUACACAGUCCCACUAUUCUCUAUUCCAAUGGUGUUGACCCAUUCAUAAGGAUGGAUGUUAUUAUAUCAAAUUAGAGAACUUCUAAAAAUGUCUAUUCAUGUUGAAAUGUAACAUAUUCCAUGUAUGAUUUCUCCACAUGGCUAGAUGUAUAUAUGCUAGAUAUGUGUCUAUUUGCAAAUGUAUUUGUGUAUAUACAUUUAAAUACAAAGUGUUAUUUGUAAUAUAGAACUGUAAAAUGUGUAUGUAUUUACAAAUGUAUAUGUGUAUGUACACUUACAAAACAAAUAGUGUUGUUUGUAGUAUGUAAUUGUAAAAUAUUUAUAGAUGAAAUAGGAAAACUUCUUAGAUGAGAUUAGGCACCUUCUGGGUAGUAUGUUCACAGACUAAACUUCGGUUCAAAUUCUUAAAGCUACAUGAACAAGAAGUUUCCAAAAUUCCAUAAUAAAAUGGGCACCCAUCUUCACAGG
rnacentral:lncRNA from 1 species